rnacentral:lncRNA from 1 species
GAAAGAACCCCCGGAUAGGAGCGCAGUUCCGACCCGGGAGAGAGAGAACCGAGAGACCCCCGUGAACUCCCAAGGCGACCCGGCGAGUGGGGAAGCCAGAGCCCAGCAGGUGGGUCUUCUGACCGCGUGGAUGCUCCGUCCACACCUGGUGACUCGGUGCCCUCCGAGUCCCCACACCUCUCCGCGGCGCCUUCCCGAGUAGAACUGCAUCUCUUACGCCCCCCGCCCCAAGUUCAGGUGCCCCACGCCUUCUGGGCUGUGACAGGCACCGCUCAGCGCCCUGUGAUGGUCCUUCCCGUGCUCACGCACAGCACCCAAGGUGCUGGCCGCCCAGACCUUAUUCCCUUUGCUGGGAGGAAACUGAAUUACUGAUGUGGGCUCGGGGGCCUGCGUUCCAGAAGGACCCAGACACCCAGGGUCUUUGUGUCUCCCUGGCCCAGCAGAGAAAAGCUAAAUUGCAUUUGAAAGCCCUACAAGGGGGACGUUAAUUGAGGCAUAAAAGCGUGUGUCUUUGACCUUCCCAGGACCUGUGGUUCUCCCCUUAUCUGGGGCCUGUUCCUGCUGACACGGGUCGGGUCGCAGCCUCCUGCUUUGCACCGUCACCGAGGCUCCGGCUCCGGCUCCGGGUCUCCCUGCUCCACAGUGGGCCUGUGCGCUCAGCUCGCCAGUGUUUCUGUGAGCAUUUCUGAGCCUCCUUCCUGGGACUUCCCAGCCCCGGAAUAAUUUCUCAUAUCUGUCCCAAGUCCCAGUCUCAACGACAGGACUCGCUGACUUCACGGUGGGAUUUGGGGAUUUUGUAGGAAGCCGUGUCCACUCACUCACUCACUCACUCAUUUGUUCACUUUUAAUUUCUCAGUCCCUCACUCAUCCGUGCACUUCUCCAGCCUUUCACUUACGUUUUGGUCCCAUUUCCAGGCAUUUGUUGAUUGAGCCAAAGAGGACUGACUACGUGUGACAUAAGUUGGAUCGAGUCACUGUGGAAGCGUAAGGACUCCUGCAUGCACGGAGCUGUUUGAGUUAGUGAAAAUGGCUGGAGGGAGCUCGUGCAGUGGCCUAAAAUCCCUGUAACGUUGCAUUUUCCAGAAAAGUGUUCAUCCAGGGUUGUUUGAAGGUCUAGGGCUAUAUUUAGUGAGCAAGUCAGCUCAGUUAAAAAUUAGUUUUGGGAGUGAAAGAAAGACCUGAGUUCAGACGUCAGCUUUGCCACUUACCAGUGAUAGGACUCUGGGCUAGGUACUUAAACUGCUCUGAGCCUCACUGUCUUCAUUUUUAUUUUAUUAUUUUAUUUUAUUUUAUUAUUUUAUUUUAUUUUAUUUUAUUUAUUUAUUUUAAUUCUUUUAAUUAAUUUAGCUGUCUUUAUUUUUAUUAUUUUUUUCAUUUUCAGUGAAUUUACUUAUUUAUUUUUUUAUUGUUCAAUUUGCCAACAUAUAGCAUAACACCCAGUGCUCAUCCCAUCAAGUGCCCCCCUCAGUGCCUGUUACCCAGUCACCCCCACUCCCCGCCCUCCUCCCCUUCCACCACCCCUUCCUUGUUUGUUUCCCAGAGUUAGGAGUCUCUUAUGUUCUGUGUCCCUCUCUGAUAUUUCCCACUCAUUUUCUCUCCUUUCCCCUUUAUUCCCUUUCACUAUUUUUUAUAUUCCCCAAAUGAAUGAGACCAUAUAAUGUUUGUCCUUCUCCUAUUGACUUACCUCACUCAGCAUAAUACCCUCCAGUUCCAUUCACGUUGAAGCAAAUG